CGCACUGAAACUGAAUAAGAACAUCGUUGAAACGACACUAAAAUAAAACGUGACUAUAAAUUAAAAAAUAAAAACUCAUUAAGUUAUAGCUCAGCCAGGAGUUGAAGGAAAUUGCAAUGGCAAAUUAAAGAGGAAUGCCAUUUAUUUAAAAUGCAGGUCCCCAUCAAACUAAGGCGAGUUCUCGACAUCGAAAGCUCAAUAUCGUGUACAUUAGGUUGUACAAUACAUCAAUAGAGGAUGUACCACCAACCUUAUGAUAAUAGUAGAUAAUUACUCCUCCUAAAAAGAUGCUACUUAGUAGUGUUCUCUUCACAAGAAAUUAAAAAGACAUACCCGAAACGUCAUAGCUGCAGUGCUGUUUAAGUUUUAUUGAACAUUUUAUUGACCUAAAUUAAUCUAAUGAAGAUUGGAAAAAAAUAUUGUGCAACUGAGAAAAAAUAAUGCCCAAAUAUGCUAGUGAACUGGCGUGAAAUUAGAAGUAUUACAUUUCAGUCACUGGAAGUAGACCUGAGUAACACUAUGUUGUGCGGAGCUUUUGUGUUUAUUCCGGUUUGUGCGUCAAUGCGUUAUGGUUCCUCGCGCUUACGUAUCAACACCUUGAAUAACACUCUGUGUUCCCCACGCUUAACAGGAAGAUCUUAAUUCCGCAUUAAUCGGUACUUGAUGUACGAGUGUUAAAUUACAUUAAUUAGAAUACCAAAGAAACUGUAA